AAACAAGUGGAGAAGGAGGAAGAGGAGGAGGAGGAGGAGGAGAAAGGCGAGGUGAACAGAGACAGUCACUGGCCCGCCCACGCCAGUCGCUGUGGACUCGUGGUAAGAGAGAGGCCAGCGUGUGGGUGCGCUGUUGUGCAGGUGGUGCGGAGAGAACCUAGCCAUCCUGACGCAGGAAAACCAACUAACUAUCUUGUGAAUAAAACGAAGGAAGAGGAGUCGUCGGUUCUUGCCUCGUCGUGUACACGAUGCCAGUGGCAGUGGUACACAGGAGCUGCUAUGUUCUAGUUCCAGCGAGGGAGUGUGUGGCUUAUCAGGAAGUCACCUGCCCACCAGCAUCACAUCAAACACCGCAGGACAGCGCACCUCUGAAAAUAUAGGAUCAAUAAACAGACAGCCAACACUCGUCUUGCUUCACUGCCAGUAGUAGCAGCAAUAUGUGCAAAUAUUACAGAAAAUGCAGAUUAUCAGUAAGCCAAACACACACACACACACACACACUGAUACAAGUCCUAAUGUUACCAGCUUGUCACUCAAAUUGUAUACACUUUUACCUGGUACACUGAUUAUCAAACAAACAGGUACGUGUGUGUGUGUGUGUGUGUGUGUGUUAAUCAAUGUAAUGAAGACAGCAGGUGCAAAAUACUCCACCUCACGCCGUCUAGGAAAAAUAAAACUAUCACUCAGGAAACCUCAAUAAUAAUAAAGAAAUAAUAGUGCAAUGUACCCGGUCAUCUGUUAAGAGUGAUUAGAUAAGGAGGAAUUAGAGUGCUGGGACUUUCAUGCGUUCCUGGAAAUUGAUUCACGUCACUGGUUUGUUUUGUAAAUAUUGACUGCGUAAUAAAGUUCUUGAAAGGAGUUACUUUA